rnacentral:rRNA from 1 species
GUGGGGAAUAUUGGGCAAUGGGCGAAAGCCUGACCCAGCAACGCCGCGUGAAGGAAGAAGGUCUUCGGAUCGUAAACUUCUAUCCUUGGUGAAGAUAAUGACGGUAGCCGAGAAGGAAGCCCCGGCUAACUACGUGCCAGCAGCCGCGGUAAUACGUAGGGGGCAAGCGUUGUCCGGAAUGAUUGGGCGUAAAGGGCGCGUACGCGGCCUGGUAAGUCUGGAGUGAAAGUCCUGCUUUUAAGGUGGGAAUUGCUUUGGAUACUGUCGGGCUUGAGUGCAGGAGAGGUAAGUGGAAUUCCCGGUGUAGCGGUGAAAUGCGUAGAGAUCGGGAGGAACACCAGUGGCGAAGGCGACUUACUGGACUGUAACUGACGCUGAGGCGCGAAAGUGUGGGGAGCAAACAGGAUUAGAAACCCCUGUAGUCC